rnacentral:rRNA from 1 species
AUGCAUGCCUCGAGCAAAGCUUUCCGUUCCAUGUGUCGCAACGACUCCCGUGUCUCGUUUCUCCGUCUGCUCCCGGCAGAUCCAGAGAAAGAGAGAGGUCAACUCCUCCCACCCUACCACUACUAUACUACUAGUACAAUUCCGAUCUCUGAUACUUACUCGGAUGCUGCGCGCGUUGGAGCGUUUCCCCGUCCAACAAGCAACUGCGCAAGAACCUUCUGCGCCGCUUCCGCCUGGCGCCGUCUCUGUUGUUUCUAUUUUUCCACGCAGCGGGAGAAAUCGCGGGGACCUGCCGGCGGCCGGCUGGCUGCGCUGUCUCGCCUGACUAAUCAAACCAACGGUCCAGGCGUACCCAGCACCGUCACUGUGAAUGCACGGGGGAGUACUAGUAGGGAGACCAUUCGCUGGGUGGCAUGCACGAGCAGCCAGACUGCUGCCCGGAUCGAGCUGUUCCUGUUCGUGGAUGAGAAUGCAGCAGCCACCCCCGGCGUUAAGGGGGCCAACUGA